rnacentral:rRNA from 1 species
CUGGCGGCGUGCCUAACACAUGCAAGUCGAACGGAGAAAGGGGACUUCGGUCCCUGAGUACAGUGGCGCACGGGUGAGUAACACGUGACUAACCUACCCUCGAGUGGGGAAUAACUUCGGGAAACCGAGGCUAAUACCGCAUAAUACCCACGGGUCAAAGGAGCAAUUCGCUUGAGGAGGGGGUCGCGGCCGAUUAGUUAGUUGGCGGGGUAAUGGCCCCACCCAAGACGGUGAUCGGUAUCCGGCCUGAGAGGGCGCACGGACACACUGGAACUGAAACACGGUCCAGACUCCUACGGGAGGCAGCAGUGGGGAAUUUUGCGCAAUGGGGGAAACCCUGACGCAGCAACGCCGCGUGGAGGAUGAAGUCUCUUGGGACGUAAACUCCUUUCGAUCGGGACGAUUAUGACGGUACCGGAAGAAGAAGCCCCGGCUAACUUCGUG